rnacentral:sRNA from 1 species
AAUAACACUAAAUCAUGAACUAGUUCACAUGCAUCACCCUUAUCCCACCCCAGACAAGAAUUUCUCUGGGUCUAGCUUAUCUAUUAAGAGUCCUUGUGUAUUAGGGACAGUGACAUAAUGCCAUGAUGUCCACUUCCUGCUCCAGUCAACUGCAAAGGAAUGAACUGCUAGCAUGCACUCUAAGGUAGAUGUGGACAUGAGCAGUCAGACUUUUUACCUUGAUCUCCUCUUGGGCAGGAGGAAUACAGCUUCAUGUUGUACAGGUCUUAAGUGUGAGGGCUUUAUUGGAGACAUAAACGUUAUAUAGCCAGAAUGGUUCCCACUGGCCACUGAUGUCCCUAACCCCUCACGGGGAAGAUUAGCCAGAAUAAUUAGACACAGAACACACAGAUUUAACUUUGAGUUCUGCACAUUCAUAUUAGUCAGAAAGCUUUUGGCCACAAUAUGCAACCAAACUAUAACUGAAAAAAAAAGUUAGGAGUCUUUGUUCACAUACAUCGUGAGCUGCAGUGAUGACAAGAUGAAGGAAAGCUUAACGGUGUCUUCAAAGACCUCAGCUUCCUUCCUUCUCUCUGGUGAGUUGCUGUAACAUUGGCUUUGUCCUCAGAGCAGCGAUGAAGUGGCUGCUCAAACACCAGCCAUCACUCCUGGACUGUCCAUUGCCAGAGGAAGAAGAAUGAUUUUUCAGUGCGUGCAUACGUGCGUGCAUGUAGGCGUGCACUACAGACACUGUCCCAGCUGUCUCUCAGCAAAUUCCAACAUUGCAUCGACUAGCUCAGAACUAGGUGUCAUACUAUUUCUAAACAAAGCCUUGCCAAGGGAAGUAGUAGAGCUAGGAAGCUCAAGCUUGGCUUAUAGACAAACCAGGAUUACUGUCUGGGGCUAGGAGUGGCACAAUUUUCUUGGAGACACUUGACUUUGGGAAAGGACAUGGAUAUCUGAACCAAAUCUCAUUCGUAUUCAGAGGAGGGCAAGUUGGGCAAUGUGCGUGUGUUUGCCUCAUUGCUCAUUGCUGUCUGGAACUGGUUCUUGCCACCCUGUCUUUGGGAGGGGACGUAAGAGGCCUUGGUCACCUCUAUUAUCAGCUUUGCCUUGAGGACCCCACAUCUGAUGCCUCUACAAGGUGCCACAUGUGCUGGUUACAAUCUCACUUGUUGCUUACAGUAGCCCUUCUUUUGUCCCACCUCCAGAACUUUUACAGACUUAGUGACCUCACCAGAUUACUCUCUUCCAUUUACAGAGGUGGCUUGAGGGUCACGAGGCAGCCCCAAGGGCCCAAUGUGGAGGCAGAAUGGUCCUGGCUCCAGGUGCUCUGACAGGACUGAGGCUAGAGACUCCACCCACCAGGGAGGCUGUGGCUGCAGACUGAACAAAGGCUUCCUUGUGUGGCUGGAGUUUGUUUCUGGAGAAUGUUAGCUGUGCAGCAGACUUGGGGAGGUGCUUUGUGAUUAUACAGAGAAGAGUGGAUUAGCCAGUUUCUGACUUGGCUUCUCCUAGGUCUUCCUUUGCCUUGUCAUUCUGUCCAGAAGUAGUCAGUCCAUCCUUCCUUUGUGCUGGCUACUGUUCAGGUGUUGAACACAUAGCCACGGACUUUGAGGUUAUAGUUUCUGACCUCAGAGCCACAAAGACAUGAUAGUACAAGUGCUUCCCUCUCAUCUGCUGAGUGCAGGGUCUCCAGGAACAACACCAUCACACACUAAGAUUUAAGUAACAGAGACUAUCUGCAGGAUAUCUUAAGUCAUUUGGAAAAGGUGUAGAUGCUCAGAGAAACUAGGGGAAUCAGGGUAAAAAAUCCCACAAGACUUAGCAAGCUUUUCAUGAGUGGCUAAUGACACACAGGAGUCUCUAGGAGAGACGGGGGUGGGGGGCGGGUACAUGCUUCCCACCAUGUCUAACUGUAUAGCUUGCUGCUUUUCCUCUCCCUGCAACUCUCUAGAAUGGUUCAAUGCUGAAAACAGAGAGUGCUGUGAACUGAGACUGCAAACAGGGGUCAUGGGGUCAGAGGGCAGCCUCUGGUUUCUGCUCUGAAAAGCACGAAGGUGACUUUGCAAUGUCUACCAGACUAUUUGUAUUCUUCAGUGCAUGCUAUGGUCUCCCCAAAUAAUUCAACUUAGCUGUUUGCCUGUUUGCAAUAAAGACCUCUUCCUGUAACUAAUGAUUGAGCCCUGAGUCUGUGGCUACCUUCCUGGCUACCUUCUGAGAUGAGAAGGGGAAUCUCUCCUACCCUGAGAUAGAGAACCAGGAAGAGGAGGCCUGUUCCUCUGACUCCAGCCUGGCUACCAUUUUGCCAGCAGCCCGAGGAUGCAGCCAAUGUCUCAGCGGCAAAGGAAAUGAAACCACCCCUGACUAACUUCUGAUCAAUAACACCUUGAGUCUAUCCAUCUGUGGAUUAACUUGACAUCCUGUGGGGUACAAAGCAACCCCCUCCCCACUCCAAGGAGGGCUUCCCACUGCUGGUGAGCAACAAGAGCACAAAGUGAACUUGGCGCUCCCUUCUCCUGAGAAGGCUUCUUCCACUGCUGCAUUUCAGCCAACUUCUACAUCAGGGCUCUUAACUUGGACUCGAAGAGUGGAGGUUACGCUGUCCUGGACUGAAGUGGCUCAGACAGCAGGUGGCAGGCACAUCAGUGAUGCCCAGGGCAGGACCAAGUCUCGCCCGCUUCAGGUAGUGUGGGCUGACAUUCUAAUGCAUGUGCCUGAGGAGCUCGAGGGGGCUGCUGAGGACACCCACAGGCAUCUGGACACACAGGAGUCGCAGCACAGGCAGAGCGAAGAGGUCACCCUCCCCUCCACUCUGCAGUUAGUCAGAACCACCACGCACACAGGCUCCUCCUGUCACCCCAGGAAAAAUGACAGUCCGGUCUGCUUUGACCAUCCUCCCUCCGCUUUCCCUUCCCUCAGUAGACAUCUUCUGCUUCAGGGCUUAGUGGCUUCUUUUGACACCACUUUCAGAAACGGUUUCAGUUUAUUUUUACACACGUCUUGAGGGGCAAGUGAAGGGCUGACUGUGGACACAGUUGAUUGGCAGCUGUGGAUAUUAACUUCGUUAAAGAGCACCUUAGCUCUUUCUACCUGUAUAGCUGGGAGGCGAUCUCUGAAAUGGAAGAUGAAAUCAUCUCUGAUGUUUAAUUUGUCAACUUUCCUAGGCCGUGGGGAGUAUGGUCAUGUAGAGCCAGGGGCUGUCUGUGAGGGGGUAUCUAGAAGAUGCUAGGAUUUGAUCCCGUGGGUUCAGGAGGGUGCAGGCUGUCCUGCCUCACCACUGUAGGGAGCACCUCCAGCCCACCCAUGGCCUUCACAGAACAAGAAACAGGAGAGGCCUCCUCUCCCUGCUGCCCACUCCACCCGGCACAGCAGGCUUCUGUCUCAGGACCGGGGUUUGAGAUAUCAGCUCCCUGUUUCUCCAGCCUGGAUACAGACUAGAAUUACACCAGUGGCAUUCGUGGGUCUCAUAGUGUGGAUGGGUUUAUGGGACUUCUUCGCCCCUGUGAUUGCACAAGUUAACUUCACCAUACAAAUAUAAACGUGACUUAAGGAUUAGGAUUGUGCUCAAAAUAAUGCUCUCUUGAAAAAGAGUUAUUUCUUUUAUAAUGCAUCAUAGUGGAGGAAUGGAGUGUGUGUGUGUGUGUGUGUGUGUGUGUGCAUACACAAUACACACAUGUAUCUUCUAUCAGUAUUGUUUCUUUGGAGAACUGUGACUUUUAAUAUAUCUUUCUGAACUAGAACUCUAUACUCACCAACUAACCUAACCCUGUUUCCUCUCUCUCCUGUUUUUGCUAAAUUAGCACUCCAAUUUGGUUUUUAUGAUUCUAUGACUGCAUGUAACUUAUACGGCGGGUGUAAUCAGUGAUUGUCUUCAGCGACUGGCCCUUUCCAUGGCCUUGAGCAUGAAGACCUCGAAGUGUGUGCUUACUUCCCUUGGCAAGGUGCCCUGAGUGUAGCAUGUGGAAUGACACUCUACUGUGAUGCCACAGCUCCUUUCUUUGUCCAUCCUGCUGACAGCCCGAGCAGCUUUCCCCUCCUGGCUACCCGACCUUCGCAUCACCCUACACACUGGUCAGCUCAUGUUUGGGUUUCUAUUUCUAUGGCCCUUGUUUCACCCUAAACUCGCUUCUCUGUUGUGGAUCAUGGAAAAGGAGUACCCCAGAGGAGCUUCUUCUUUGCAAGUUUGAGCUUGCCAAUAAGUUUCUCCAAGGGGAAAAAAUGCAUUUUUGAAUGAAGAAAUAAAAAGCCAAUACCCAUGCCUUUUAUAUAUAGUUGGGUAAACAUAAAAUAAAAAUAAAAUACUUCUUACACUGUGUGACUCUUUCCUCUUAGCCAUACUCCGCAGCUAUAACCCUGGAGGGGGAAUGUAAGCACAUUUAUUUAAGAUUUUUUUUUGAUUCAUAAAAAGUAACGUAAGCUUAGCAUAAAGAUUCUAAAAGCCAGAAAUGAGCCAUUUGCUGAGGCCAUGUUUUGUGCAGAACUCUUCCACCAUUUCUGAGGUUUUUCUUUAGAGAUAGUGUGAUCUGCAUGUGAUACUCAAGGCCAGUAACGGGCAGGCGAGAAGACAUUUCUCUGGGACCCUCAUGCGCAUCACAACCUCUGCCAUGGGUGUUGAUUUCCUCAGCACAGACAGGGAGCUGCUUCAAAGGGAAGCCCUCUGUACAGGGCAGCCACAGCCAUUUUCUAGAUUCUUUUCCUCUGAAGCUCUCCUAAGAGACUGUUCUACUCCCAGAACUCAGUGGGCAAAGUGCUUGGGACAGUUUCCAGAAGAACCCAGUUCUUGUCCAUCAUUAGCCGUUUCAUUCUGGGGCUGAUGACAGAUCUCAGAAGGACCUAAGCCAACCUCUGUACUUCUAGAGAACGAUGGUUUUCCUGGGUUCUUGUGCCAAAUGCUUGACCAAGGGCACCCAAUAGAGCCUCGGGGGCUCCAGGAAGCUCACUUCCCUCACCUCAGAGCUCUUCCUCUCCUCUUUACCUAGGAGGGUCAUGAACUGUGCAAAACUAUGUCCCUGUAAUUUUACUUGUCGUUUUCACUUUACAAAUUCUCCAGUUUACACAUGGAGAGACCCAGGGAGUCAUGCUAUGUUGUUCAGGGACUGCCAAUGGGGUAGGAGACCCAAAUGUGGUUUUAGAGUAGCCAUCAGCCGAAGUGGAAAGGACGCAGAGUAGGUUUGGGCUUGGCAAAGCUCCCUAUCCUCUCUGCACUUCUCUUCAAGCAUACAGAGUUGGGAGGGUUGCUGUAAAGAUUAGAAAUAAUGUAUGCAAAGCCUGGGGCACAAUGCUUGGGUCUUGGUGGGUGGUCUAUAACUUCUAACUGCUAGUGGGUACGGUGUGGCCAGACUCCAAAACCUUUGAGCUUUCCUUGGAACAAUACCCUUCCCACAGACAUGCAAAAUGACAGGGGGUAAAGAAAGAAAACCACGGAACUCCCCAGGACCAAAUGCAUUCACCAGCAUCAUUGUCCUCGGUCCCCCCAACCCCCACACCCCCUCCACUCGCUUUUGUCAGUCUUUCUUUGAACUAUGUCACCACCAGUGGUUGUGGCCACACAGCAUAUAUUAUCUACCAUGUGUCCUUUUCACGUCUCUUCUUAUGCUGAGGUGGCCUUUAAUGUCUACCUCAGGGCCAAUCCUAAGUAGUAAGAAGCCUGUGUGGCAACGGCCCUUCGGAAAUUGCAGGCCUCUCUCUUCUGUGGUGGCAGGGGCUCGGCCUCUCUCUUCUGUGGUGGCAGGGGCUCGCUGGUUGAUUCGUAUCCUGCCUGUGUCUUUGAAGAGCCUUUUCAGAGAUGGGCCUCUCUUUGACCUCAUGGUGGCUGCACUCUGAGAGUAUGAGAGUCGGUGUUUCUUCUUCCUGCAUAGCUUCCCCUUCCUUCUGCUUGUGGGUCUCCCUCGGCCGGCCAGGGCUCAGGGCUCUCUAGCAUUAGGUCCCCACUUUGGUCCUCAGCUAAGCUCUCUCACACUGCUCUAGCCACCACACUGUGGUCUCCCCACUCUCUGGCUGCAGAGAGCUCCCAUCCCUCCCUGCAGCUCCACUGGGCAGGACUUGCAGUUGUGUGAACUGUGGGCUAUGGUUCACACUGACUUUAGCUAGGCUCUCACUACCCCACGAUAGUUUGGCUUCUUUCUGCUCCUGCUUCUGCUUCCGGCCUACUUCAGCAUUUCUGUCACAAGGCCGUUAGCCGCUAUCUCCAUACCGAGUCCAGGCAGGAAAAGGAUCAGGCUUUGGGGAGAGCAGGCGAACAGAGGUGCUUCAUCGAUUGAGCUGUCCUCUAGCUCGAAUCACCUUUGUCAUUUUGGUCUCAUUUUCUUUUCUAUCUGUGGAGGCCAGCGGUUGGCAUCUGGUGUUUUACCACUGCUCUCCACCUCAUUUUCUGAGGCAGUGUCUCUCAUUGAACUGGGGUCUCAGCCAUUUGGCUAACCCAGUCAGCCAGCCCCCAGUACCCUCCUGUCUCCUCCUCUCCAGCACUGAGCUUACAGGUGCUUGUCCACGUCCAACCUUUUCCAAGGAUGCUGGAGAUAUGAAGCCAAGGACCUCAUGCUGGCAGGGCUAGCACCUCUCACCACCAAGCCAUCUUCUCAGCCCUUGUUUUGGCUUUUGAGAUGUGGUCUGUCUGUACUGAAAUUCCUCUUACCCACGACUUCCUCCUCAGAGCCCCUCCUAUGCUCGUUUUGUGCACUUACAUUUAACAUAUCUACCUUGGCUAUUUUUCCAGAUUGACAGAAAUCUCUCCUCUUCUAAAAAUAAAUGGCAGUAGUAGCAAUGAUGAUUCUCUUUCCCCUGACUCAUUCAUCUCCACCAUCCCAGGAUUUUCUCCAUGGCUAGGCCCCCACAGCUUCCUUUAAUCUUGUAACUGCCUCCUAAGUCAGCAAGGACCACCCCUCUCACCAUGUAUUCUCUUUCUUCACCAUCUCCAUUUUGUUCAGCAUGUGUACGGGCCCCUUGACCCUCAGAAGCUUUCGGUCUCUGUGGCUGAUGGCAAUCAGCCUCUCUCUGAUGGCAGGACUGUGUGUUAUCCUCUUCCCUUUUCCAGGAGGCCCCUCACUACCGUCUUCACCUUCUUACUAACCUCGGAAAUGGAAGCACUCCUCCGGAUUCAGUCCUUUGCCGUGCAUGCACAACCCCCGUUAGCAGCAUCUCCAUGGUGAUCACACCUUACCAGCCCUCAUUUCCACUGUGCCAGUGUGUUCUGUUGUUUUGGAUGGAAGUCACAGCGGCUCACUGUAUACCACAGCCAGGCCAUUUCCUGGGGGUUCAUAGCAUCCAGGAAUGAGCGCACACUUUUUACCUUUGCCCCCAGCACAAGCACCUCCUUAAACUUUCUCUAUCCCAGGGUGCGAGCAACAUAGCUGGUUGGAGCAGGUCUCCGCCAGUCUGGAGUUCUAGAAGCACUAAUUAUCCUGCUGUGUGUGGACCGGGCAGUCCGGACUGUAAUUCGAAGCUGUCACCAUGGAUGGCUGUUUUCUUUGUGAGCAGAUAUGCUGAGAGAGCUGGCUUUUGAGCACAGUCAGAGCAAAGACAAAUACAGCAGCUAUUUGGAAAAGUAGCGCCCAUAAACACGGACAAACCCAGAGACCAAGAGGCUCCACAUGGAUCGUCCUCUCCCCUGAAGACUCCAGCAAGUUAAGGCACUGUUUACAUUUCAAUUUGGCAGAGUCUAAAGAAAAGAUGGCAAUGUAAGCUGGUCUGCCUUCUCCCACUCCAUGGCAACCAGCGCCAUGGAGCUCCACUGGUUCUUCCUUUGUGGUGGCGCUGUCUCUCCAGCUAUCAAGGUGUUACCUCUUGAUCCGUCAAUGCUGAAUGAGGAGACAUCCUGAGUACAACGGACAUGUCUCAAGCUAAAGGCCUUAAUGGAAGGACUGUUUCACAUCCUUCCUAUGGAUCUUCCUGCUUGCUCAUGAGAAAGACAUCGAGGCUCCUGUGAACACCUCACUGCAAGUCCAGGAUCCAAUCAUAUGAGACCAGCCAGCCUCCUACUCCUGCCACUGUGUUUCCCCUGCUUGCUGCUGUGUCUUCCUCAUCACGAUGGACUGCAUCCCUCUGUCACUGUUUGGUGCCCCAGCUUCACCGGGGCUGGAACAUCGACUUUGUCAGCACAGCCUCUGCUUUGUCCAUGGCCUCUGACUCAGGUUGUCACACGCUUCCUUGGACCCCGGUCGCUUGGCCUCCAUCACUUGCUGUGAGAGCUGGAAGACCCUCUUUUAGCUUCUGAAGUCAGAGGAUCCAGUCAGAAGGAGUGAUAUUCUUUGUCAGAGAUUCCAGGCCACCUGCAGUUCAAGCGCAGGCAGGGUGGUCCCCUGGAACUCACGCUGCAUUAUCAGAAGAUGCCCCUGAAUUUCAGCUUCUCUUGGAUUUCCUUUCCAUGAAGUGGAGCUUGAGAAUGAGGUGGCUGGUGUGGUGAACGGAUUUCUGCAUGGACCAGUGAAUACUUGUGCUUCCAGGGCUGAUGACAGGCAUGAAGUGGAACAGAAACUUUUGGUGCUAAAAUCGUCAUCCAGGAAGUGGGUGCUCAGGGGCUCUUAGCUAAUCAAGGGGUUAAAGGACCUUGGGAACUUUCAGGGAAGGGGGAGGAUAUGAUAUUUCAAUAAACUGGACAGCAAGGGUGGGGUGGAAGAUGAAAGAAAAUAACCCUUUGCAGUGACAAUCAUGACUCAGUGCUCCACAGACAGAGACAGUGCUGAUGCUGUUGUCCUUCACCAGAGAACGUUUACACGGGAGGUACCUACUGCAUAGGACACCUCCCAAUCUCUGUGACGCACACGCAGUGGAAGCGACACCCCAGACAAGCUGAGAGACACAGGGGCAUCUUCUGAUAAUGCAGCGUGACCACCCUGUGGAGACCACCCUGUGGAGGAGAGAGGCAGUCAGAAAUGUGGAUGCACAAACAUGCCAGGGCACCUAUACUAAUGUGUGCAUUCAUGCGUGCAUGCAAGCAUGUGUGCAUGUGCGUGUGUGUGUGUUCGAGAGUGUGUGCAUGUGUGGUGGGGAGCCCAGGGAAGCUCAAGAUUCUUGUUCUUCUGAGGUUUUGUAAAACCUGCAUCCACAGAUGGACCUAAGUUCCUAAUCUAGAACCAUAUAUCCUGUUCAACAUAACUUCCUCCAAGCCUCUGGCUUUUUGGUAGGAUUUAAGAUUACAGGACUGGAGAGAGGUAUCGUCUGCAGAAUGCUCUGUGCGGUAAGUCACGGCCUAAAAGUAUUUGCGUGCAGGUGUUGUACAGGUAGAUAAUCCAUGCAAGCAAAGUCAGGCAAAUUUGUGUGAUUUCCAGCCAUUGUUUCUCUUGUGCCUGCCACCGAAAGCUUGUAAGAGAUCAGGUUGCUUGGACUUUAAAACAGCUUAACGUAUAGGCAUGGUUGCCCUCAGUGUUGGUUUCUCUCGUCACAGGCCUCUAUUUCCAUGUGACCUCACCCUGAGCCUGUGCCCAACGCUCAGCGCGCGUGUGUGUGUGUGUGUG